CACGUAGGGGGCAAGCGUUGUCCGGAUUCAUUGGGCGUAAAGAGCUCGUAGGCGGUUCGAUAAGUCGGGUGUGAAACCUCCAGGCUCAACCUGGAGACGCCACCCGAUACUGUCGUGACUAGAGUCCAGUAGGGGAGCGUGGAAUUCCUGGUGUAGCGGUGAAAUGCGCAGAUAUCAGGAGGAACACCGGUGGCGAAGGCGGGUCUCUGGGCAGUAACUGACGCUGAGGAGCGAAAGCGUGGGUAGCGAACAGG
rnacentral:rRNA from 1 species